rnacentral:rRNA from 1 species
UACAACUUUCAGCAACGGAUCUCUUGGCUCUCGCAUCGAUGAAGAACGCAGCGAAAUGCGAUAAGUAAUGUGAAUUGCAGAAUUCAGUGAAUCAUCGAAUCUUUGAACGCAUCUUGC